UCCGGUAGGGGGGACUGCGGAGGGAUCAUUACACAACAAAAAUAUGAGGGUGUGGUUUGCUGGCAACAGCGUCCGCCCCAAGUAUUUUUCACCCAUGUCUUUUGCGCACUUUUUGUUUCCUGGGCGAGUUCGCUCGCCACCAGGACCCAACCAUAAACCUUUUUUUAUGCAGUUGCAAUCAGCGUCAGUAUAAUAAUUCAAUUUAUUAAAACUUUCAACAACGGAUCUCUUGGUUCUGGCAUCGAUGAAGAACGCAGCGAAAUGCGAUACGUAGUGUGAAUUGCAGAAUUCAGUGAAUCAUCGAAUCUUUGAACGCACAUUGCGCCCUUUGGUAUUCCAAAGGGCAUGCCUGUUCGAGCGUCAUUUGUACCCUCAAGCUUUGCUUGGUGUUGGGCGUCUUUUUGUCUCUCCCCUUGUUGGGGGAGACUCGCCUUAAAACGAUUGGCAGCCGACCUACUGGUUUUCGGAGCGCAGCACAAAUUUGCGCCUUCCAAUCCACGGGGCGGCAUCCAGCAAGCCUUUGUUUUCUAUAACAAAUCCACAUUUUGACCUCGGAUCAGGUAGGGAUACCCGCUGAACUUAAGCAUAUCAUAGCC
rnacentral:rRNA from 1 species